AUGAUCUGUCACAGAAGUGUCCGAUGAGGCUGGGACUCCCAGCCUCAUCGGACACUUCUGUGACCACUCGGA
rnacentral:pre_miRNA from 1 species